GUACCAUGAUGAGAAACCUUCAUUCAGUUCUGCUUCUGCAAAAUUAUUGAAGAAAAAUCUAUUAUACCAAAAAUAACGAUCCUGAUCC
rnacentral:snoRNA from 1 species